GGACCAGGAUUCUAAAUGAGACCUGAGGGAAUGGAGCUGUUGUUGACAAGAGCUGUUAGACAAACAGGACAUGGAGGAGGAGUGGUCAUGCAUACCUCAAUGGGACAAAGUAUCUCCUCUGAGACUUCAGAAAAUCCUUUUCUUCUGGAGCCACUCUGUUCUGGAUUACCCUGAGAUUUUAAUGAGAUAAAGUCUAGAGAUGUAUAUAACUUUUCUGCAUCAUUUUGGAAUUUUAAUGAGAUGAAACGAGACCCAGAGACACCUGUUCUAGACCACUUUGGGAUCUUAAUGAGAGUGUGUGUGUUGGUAGGUGUCAUCAGUGGAGGGCUGGUGGUUGGAAGUUAGAGGAGUAGCUGUUUAUGAAUUCUAGACCUGGACAGUCUUUGUCAUUAAGUUGAUAUGUGACCCCAUGGAUGCAAACAGGUUGAAGACAAGAGCUCUCUUUAAUGGAACCUGAACAGUGCCUAACUCCUGUAGAUAUUCACUGAAUGUUAAAUAACAACAGUGAUCAUGUAAUAAUGAUGCCCAAUUCACUUGGGAGAGAAUACCAAAUAGCUUGGAAUUUUCCUGUUACUGCCAGCAUGGCCUGAGAGCAUCCUGAGAGAGGUCAAAAGUCCGUCUGACUCACCUGUGCUGAGUGACUUGAAUGCCAUCUAAUCUAACUUCAAGGUGACUGGAUAGAUUGUACAUGUGGUAAUAAAAUGCUAAUCGUAGUGUCAUAAUUUUAGAGAUUCAAGAAGAAAUUAUUAGAAACACAAAUUAAGAGCUUUAAUAUGCUCAUAUGUACCUGUGCAUAACUUUUUUUAAAGCACCUAGAAACUGCAAGUCAAUAAACAUUGUUUUCCCAUGCUGCCCUAUACUCAUCCAACCCAGCGAUGAUGAAAUGCAUACUGACAAGAGCAAUAAGAAAAAUAAUAACAUUAUCACAGGAUCAAUGUCUAUUGCUAGCUUCAUAAAGGACUUGGCUUCCCAUUGAUGUUUAAUUUUUGUAAAUGCCUCUGGAAAUUUAAGUAGCAGUAGGAAAACAUAAUGUUCAAUUUCUCCUAACAUAACCUCUUAAACUUUGGACGUGUGCAGUUUUCAGUCUGGGACAAAUUUAGGAGAACAAAUCUCUUUGAAACAGACUGGCAGAUUUAUUUUAAAUAAGCUUGCUUUAAGGCUACAGGUCUAGGAGACAGAAUCAUAGAAGAUGAUUGGAACAACGGGAGCUGAAAAAUCUUGGAAGCCUGCUUUUUCUGUGACUCGUUUUGGUGUAUACAUCAGCAUAAAGGGGAGAGUCUCCUCUAUCCAUGUCAUGGCUGAUGGUAGCAUCUGUGCCAAAUUUUAAGCACUAGGGGACAAGUUGGGAGGCUCCGAAAAGCUCACCUGUCUCAGAACACCACGAUAUCCUAGCAUUUUUGUUAUUCCUCCUUGCUCUACCUCAACUGCUCUGGCAUUGACUCAAAUUCCUGGAACUGCAUAAUCAGCAUCUGGACGAAUAAUAAAUGAACUCCUGCUAGCUCUACCAUAGGAGAAGCAUUAGAGUACUUUGAAGUCCUAGAACCUUCAUCUUCUUAGACUUAAGAGUGGUAUUUCUGAAACUUGAGCUUGCAUCAGACUCACCUAAGGCAUCAUGUUAAAACACUGAUUGCUGAACUCUACCCUGAUAGUUUUUGGUUCUGUAGUUCUAAGGCAGAGCUCAUUAAUUUGAGUUUCUAACCAGUUCCCAUAUGAUGCUGAUGCAACUUGUCCUGCAGACCAUACAUUGAGGACCGCUAGCCUAGAGUUCCCCUUUUUUGACCCAGAUGCUGGACUGUUGUAAGCCAACAGUUAGGUCUUUCUGAAAUCCAUGGGCUCAAGCAGGGGCAGAAAAUAUCCAGAUGCCAAAAGGAAGCUUAUUAUUUUAUAGGGACCUCUGCAGAGUGAGCGCCACACUUUGGCUGAAGAGUACAGUUUGUUCCUCACCAUGACCUUGGGGUCCCGUCCCAACUAAUCCAGAGCCAUGUGGGUUUGCAGAGACAGGCAUUCCUCCCAUAUUCUGGCCUCUGACCUGAAAUCUUCUAACUUGAGAAGAGAACAGUCACCUUCCUGGGAAUCUGAAAUAGAAAGGCAAAUUUGUGAAGGCCUUUCUGACAUCUGAAUGGCUGGAUUUGCAUUUGCUGUAGUGAUAACUCAGUGCCAUCCAGACCUGACAGUGAUGAACGAUGCUGGAUUCUGCUCAAAUUCCAUCAAAGCCUGCAGGGUGAAGACUCUGGUCCCUGAACCCAGUGUCCUCUGGCCCUUCCUGUCAAAGCAUUGGAGUGACAGGGAGACAUUUGAGAGGCAGUGAGGAGGAAGGACAGAGGCAUCAGGGUGGGUGUGGCAGCUUCCAUAUUUAGCAGAGAGAAGCAGAGAUGAGGGUAAGAUUAUGAGUGGGAGAGGAGGGAAGGUUAGAGAACAAUGGAAAAAUUUUCUUCUUCAGUGUAAGAAUUCUGGACCCUUAUUUGAAGUCUCUCCUGCUUUGUUGGGCAAAAGUAAUGAGAAACUCCACUUGGCUUCAGAAUGCAGUGUCAACUCCACAUGAAUCAAAGCAAUAAAAAAGAAUCAACUCAGAGCAGGCUGAGCUAUGUGAGAUCAUCAGGAUACUUGCCAACAAGGUCACAGUGGACUCCAUGGAGCAACUGCCCUCAGGAGGCAACAGGUCACAGUGUUUGGACACCGCAUGAACAUGCCAAUUUCCUGUGUUGUAAUAUUUUUAUGCACUUUAAGAAGACCACCAGAAACAGCAGAGUGAGUGAAUGACUGAGGCGCAUAUUGGACAAAAAUCACUUAUCCAAGACCACGUUACUACAACCCCAGGGCACAGAAGCUAAGUCUUCCUAUUGUACUGAACUCAGUUGACUGGAAUUUGUUCAGGAAAGCAUGAAGUCAAAUGGAAGCUAGUCCGUGACUGGAUUCAUCUUUUGGUAAAAAACGAAGAGGAGACCCCAUAUCCUGGAGGUUCUUGCUUAACCCUGUCCCUAAUAAGACCUAACUUUAUGAGUCUUCUCCUUAGAGGCAGUCCUAGGGUAAGAGUGAUUAUUCCUGUGAGCCUUGUAGGUACUUUCGAAUCAAGGAAAUUAGUAGUUGAUUGCUAAUUAAUUCAGUAUUUAAUGAAUUUAAGUACCUAGGCAAUGAGGCCACAAUAGCAAAUAAGACACAGACCUGUUUUCAAAAAGUAGCCUGUAAAUAAGAUAUUUUUUUCUGCCAUGGUGGCAAAGGCAUGACUAUGGUGAUGAACAUUCAUAGGCUCACCUUCUAGCUCUGUUGUAUGUUAACUGUGUGAACUUGGGUCAAGUUAUGAAAACUCUAAGAACUCUCAAAACUCCUGAUCUGUUUUAACAUGAAAGUAAAGAUAUCUAAUUGAAUUGUUGUGAAACUUAAAUGUAAUGUGACAUCCAAAGAAUGUAGCCCAAAGUUGGAUUUCAGUAAGUGAUAAAUAGAAGUAUUUAAACAUGGGUAUGGUAUGUUCUGUAACAGAAGAAUGUCUAUGUGCUGGGGAUACCUAGAGACAGUGAAAAUUCUGUCUGGCCUGCGAAUUAUAAUAAAAUGACUCUUUAAAGUCAAUGAG
rnacentral:lncRNA from 1 species